rnacentral:rRNA from 1 species
CCCUAUUAUUUAAAAUGUGAAUUUAAUAUUCCUGAUUAGUAAUAGUUAUGUUCUUGAAAAUUAAAGAUUUUGGCGGUACUUUAGUCUGUUCAGAGGAACCUGUCCUAUAAUCGAUAAUCCACGAUUGUUUCUACUUUUUCUUUUAGUUUGUAUAUCGUCGUAGUUUGAAUAUUUUGUUAGAAUUAUAAUGUUCAAGGUUUAUUUUAUAAAGGAAUUCAGAUCAAGGUGUAGCUUAUGGAAAAGCAAGUGAUGGGUUACAUUAAAUUUAUUAUUAGGAUUAUUUCGUUAAAAGUAAUAUGAAUGUGGAUUUGAUAGUAAUUUUAAUUUUUUAUUAAAAUGAUUUUAGCUCUAAAGUAUGCACAUAUC